CGGACGGGUGAGUAACACGUGAGCAACCUGCCUUAGACAUUGGGAUAGCCUCGGGAAACCGGGAUUAAUACCAAAUGAAAUCACAUAUGCACAUGCAUAAAUGAUCAAAGCUCCGGCGGUCUAAGAUGGACUCGCGUCCCAUUAGCUAGUUGGUGAGGUAACGGCCCACCAAGGCGACGAUGGGUAGCCGGCCUGAGAGGGUGAACGGCCACAUUGGAACUGAGAAACGGUCCAAACUCCUACGGGAGGCAGCAGCU
rnacentral:rRNA from 1 species